rnacentral:lncRNA from 1 species
UUUGAUUUUGAGAACCUUAGUUUCAACUUGAAGUAUUCAUGGCCGGACAGGGCCAAGGUCAUGUUGGACUUAAUAAAGGUGUGCAAAAUUUGAUGGAAACCACUCGAACCGAAACCCAAUAUUAUUUACAUAUUAAAUAUAAAUAUGAUAUAUACCAAACCCAAUAUUAUUACCUAACGAAGCCCAAUCCUAAAAUUAUAUAUUCCAAACCCAAUAGUUUUACCCAACAAAUAUCAUUUAUCUAAACCUAAACAAAAAUUAAAAAAGAAAACACAAC